rnacentral:rRNA from 1 species
UACGUAGGGUGCAAGCGUUGUCCGGAAUUAUUGGGCGUAAAGAGCUCGUAGGCGGUUUGUUGCGUCGGCUGUGAAAUCCCGAGGCUCAACCUCGGGUCUGCAGUCGAUACGAGCAAACUAGAGUGUUGCAGGGGAGACUGGAAUCCCUGGUGUAGCGGUGAAAUGCGCAGAUAUCAGGAGGAACACCGGUGGCGAAGGCGGGUCUCUGGGCAACAACUGACGCUGAGGCGCGACAGCGUGGGGAGCAAACAGG